rnacentral:rRNA from 1 species
GACGAACGCUGGCGGCGUGCUUAACACAUGCAAGUCGAACGGAAAGGCCCUGCUUUUGUGGGGUGCUCGAGUGGCGAACGGGUGAGUAACACGUGAGUAACCUGCCCUUGACUUUGGGAUAACUUCAGGAAACUGGGGCUAAUACCGGAUAGGAGCUCCUGCUGCAUGGUGGGGGUUGGAAAGUUUCGGCGGUUGGGGAUGGACUCGCGGCUUAUCAGCUUGUUGGUGGGGUAGUGGCUUACCAAGGCUUUGACGGGUAGCCGGCCUGAGAGGGUGACCGGCCACAUUGGGACUGAGAUACGGCCCAGACUCCUACGUUAGGCAGCAGUGGGGAAUAUUGCACAAUGGGCGGAAGCCUGAUGCAGCAACGCCGCGUGCGGGAUGACGGCCUUCGGGUUGUAAACCGCUUUCGCCUGUGACGAAGCGUGAGUGACGGUCAUGGGUAAAGAAGCACCGGCUAACUACCUG